rnacentral:lncRNA from 1 species
GGAAACGGGACGGGAAGAGGUGGCCUCGGGGGGAGAGCGCCUCCCCUUCGCCUUCAGCGCUCCCUUCCCGGUCGCCCCGCUCCCGCGUCCGGGCGCGACCGCCACCGCUGCCCGCCAGCAUGCCCGGCGUGGCCCGCCCGCCGCUGCCGCUGCUGUCGCUGCCACUGCUGCUACUGCUGCUGCUCCCGCGCGCCGGCCGGCCGCUGGACUUGGCCGACUACACCUACGACCUGGGCGAGGAGGACGCCCCGGAGCUCCUCAACUACAAAGACCCCUGCAAGGCGGCUGCCUUUCUUGGGGACAUUGCCCUGGAUGAGGAGGACUUGAGGGCCUUCCGGGUGCAGCAGGCUGCAGUUCUCAGACAACAAACAGCCCAGAGGUCGUCCAUCAAAGCUGCAGGGAACUCUUCUGCCCUGGGUAGACAGAGCACGAGUGGGCAGCCGCAGAGGGGAAGCAGAGGCAGAUGGAGAAGCAGGCCUCGGAGCAGGCGGGCAGCGACAUCCAGACCAGAGCGA